CCUACGGGUGGCAGCAGUGGGGAAUAUUGGGCAAUGGGCGCAAGCCUGACCCAGCAACGCCGCGUGAAGGAAGAAGGCUUUCGGGUUGUAAACUUCUUUUCUGAGGGACGAAGAUAGUGACGGUACCUCAGGAAUAAGCCACGGCGAACUACGUGCCAGCAGCCGCGGCAAUACGUAGGUGGCAAGCGUUAUCCGGAUUUAUUGGGUGUAAAGGUCGUGUAGGCGGGAAAGCAAGUCAGUUGUGAAGACUCAGGGCUCAACCCUGAGCCUGCAUUGGAAACUGGUUUUCUUGAGUGCUGGAGAGGCAAUCGGAAUGCGGGGUGUAGCGGUGAAAUGCGUAGAUAUACGGAGGAACACCAGUGGCGAAGGCGGAUUGCUGGACAGUAACUGACGCUGAGGCGCGAAAGCGUGGGGAGCAAACAGGAUUAGAUACCCUUGUAGUC
rnacentral:rRNA from 1 species